rnacentral:rRNA from 1 species
GGCUAACUUCGUGCCAGCAGCCGCGGUAAUACGAAGGGAGCUAGCGUUACUCGGAAUUAUUGGGCGUAAAGCGUACGUAGGCGGCUUAGUAAGUUGGGAGUGAAAUCCUUGGGCUUAACCCAAGAAUUGCUUUCAAAACUACUAAGCUAGAGUAUCAGAGGGGAUGGCGGAAUUCCUAGUGUAGAGGUGAAAUUCGUAGAUAUUAGGAGGAACACCGGUGGCGAAAGCGGCCAUCUGGCUGAUUACUGACGCUGUUGUACGAAAGCGUGGGGAGCAAACAGGAUUAGAUACCCUGGUAGUCCAC